UACGAAGGGUGCGAGCGUUAUUCGGAAUUAUUGGGCGUAAAGGGUUCGUAGGCGGGAUUGUAAGUCAAGUGUGAAAUCCCCGAGCUUAACUCGGGACGUGCAUUUGAAACUGUGAUUCUUGAGUCAUUGAGAGGGUGGUGGAAUUGUUGGUGUAGGAGUGACAUCCGUAGAGAUCAACAGGAACAUCAGAGGCGAAAGCGGCCACCUGGCAAUGUACUGACGCUGAGGAACGAAAGCGUGGGGAGCAAACAGGAUUAGAUACCCUGGUAGUCCACGCCAUAAACGAUGAUAACUAGGUGUUGGGGGAGUUGACCCCCUCAGUACCGUAGCUCACGCGCUAAGUUAUCCGCCUGGGGAGUACGACCGCAAGGUUAAA
rnacentral:rRNA from 1 species